UCGAACGGACCCUUCGGGGUUAGUGGCGGACGGGUGAGUAACACGUGGGAACGUGCCUUUAGGUUCGGAAUAGCUCCUGGAAACGGGUGGUAAUGCCGAAUGUGCCCUUCGGGGGAAAGAUUUAUCGCCUUUAGAGCGGCCCGCGUCUGAUUAGCUAGUUGGUGAGGUAACGGCUCACCAAGGCGACGAUCAGUAGCUGGUCUGAGAGGAUGACCAGCCACACUGGGACUGAGACACGGCCCAGACUCCUACGGGAGGCAGCAGUGGGGAAUCUUGCGCAAUGGGCGAAAGCCUGACGCAGCCAUGCCGCGUGAAUGAUGAAGGUCUUAGGAUUGUAAAAUUCUUUCACCGGGGACGAUAAUGACGGUACCCGGAGAAGAAGCCCCGGCUAACUUCGUGCCAGCAGCCGCGGUAAUACGAAGGGGGCUAGCGUUGCUCGGAAUUACUGGGCGUAAAGGGCGCGUAGGCGGAUCGUUAAGUCAGAGGUGAAAUCCCAGGGCUCAACCCUGGAACUGCCUUUGAUACUGGCGAUCUUGAGUAUGAGAGAGGUAUGUGGAACUCCGAGUGUAGAGGUGAAAUUCGUAGAUAUUCGGAAGAACACCAGUGGCGAAGGCGACAUACUGGCUCAUUACUGACGCUGAGGCGCGAAAGCGUGGGGAGCAAACAGGAUUAGAUACCCUG
rnacentral:rRNA from 1 species